UAUACGAUCAAUCAAGCAAGGAGCAUCACACAGUCGUCCUAGAUGUAGCCAAAGAGAGCUUGCAUUCUAUCGGAAGGGCGGAGCAACUGGGGCUGUUUGGAAAAUUUGCUGUUACCGCUGGCGAUCAUGUCUACUUUUGGUACGAACACAACCUACAAGCUCCCUUUAAAAUGUUCGACAACACCAGUUUUUCUCUAUCCCUGCUUCCUAUGCCGCUUUGGUUUAAAACGGCGGACUGCAUUGUUUGCAAUAUGAAAAAAUUGUCGUCAUUGGAACCUCACCGAAGACGGUUGUUCGAGUGUUAGAGCUCUUUGAUGCGGCAACAAUGCAGUGGGAACCAGCGGAAUCAGUGCUACAACUUCCAGAUGACCGUAUUGGGUUUGUUGCCCUCUUCUUCAGCAACGAACUGCAUCUUUUAGGUGGUCAAAGCAGCUCUGAUCCCUCGGCUUCAGCGUUGAAAACAUGUUUCCGAUCUGACCUUAAUAAACGCAACUGAGAAAAAGUGGGUGACCUUCUUCAGGCCAGGCCCAUCAGCUAUGCGUUUGUUUAUGACGGCCAAAUAUUCAUAUUCGGUGGGCGCAUCUGUGAUACAGAUUGCUUGUCGCAAACGAUGGAAGUGUACGAUUCGAGGGAUUUUAAAUGGACGACCUUCCCACUGCCUGACUUAUGCGACUUUGAUAUGGAUCCAGACUUCAAUGUUUUUUACGCCGUUAACGCUAAAAUUAACUGCAACUAAGCACGGUAACUUUGCACCGUUAAAGGCUGGAUUUCAUUUUUUCUUUAAAAUACCACUCGGUAGUAGUUAACGGCCUUGUCCUAUGGUAAAAAAAUUCUUGACAUUAUUAGAAUCAGACAAUCCAAUAAAAAUGUUCGAUUCCAGCAAAGGAAUCGUUUUAUUUA